rnacentral:lncRNA from 1 species
UCUCAUAAAAAAACGGCACGGGAGCCGCUCUCUCUCUGUUCUCUCUCUCAUACCUUUCACAGAGAGAAGGCGAUUUUCCUUUUUGCUUUUUCAUCCGUUCGAUCGGAAAAAUAAAUUCUGGUAUAACCAGAUUUAUGUGUAAUAAUCCUUCCGUUUUACGGAUUUCAGUUUUCCGGCUAUGACCGGAUUUUUCUUUUCCGUUUUCGAAUCUCCUUUUGCUUGUAAGCAAUUGGUUUUUUUCGAUUUCGGACUUUAUGCUUCUUCUACAAAUCUGGCCGCUUUCUUUUAAGAGGUGGUAAAGUGAUGGUGGUGAAAGCUCCUACUCCAACAUUUGGCAUCGUCCUCUCAUGGUUGGGAUGUUAAAUUUCCCUUGGUUACCUCAUGAAAAACCUUUUUCAAAAUGGAGGGUAAUAUAUAGUCAUGAGUCAAAGAUGAUCGAAGGUCUUUUUAAUGGAGGUGAGAAGAUUUUUGACCACCCAAGAUCUUUAUUGUAGAAGAAGCUCUAGCGGCGGUACACAAGCAUCAUCGUGAAGCCGGAAGCUGGAGGUUGAAGUGUCGUCGGCGGCGAGUUCCGGCGCACCAGAAACUGAAGCGGUGGUGCAUGACGAUAUGAUCUUCAUCUUGACACGUGUCACUGGUGUUUAUGGUUUUUACAUCUGUCUAUGUACAUGUCUAAAAUUAUCUUUGUAUUUGGGCCGAUAUAGGCCUUGUUUGUACCAACGCUUUACCCCUUUUGGAGUUUCGUUAUAAAACGAAUGACGAAAAAAAAAAAAAAAGUUUCACUCUCAUAUUACCACCAAUUAUUAUUCACUUUAUUUAAUUAAUUAGUAUUUCUUUUUGUCGUCAAACAAUAUACUUUAAAGUUUACAUUAUUAUAUUAGAG